GCCUUUGUAGCUCAAUGGUAGAGUAAGCGCCCUUUAAGCGUUGUGAUAAAGGUUCGAAUCCUUCUAAAGGCA
rnacentral:tRNA from 1 species